rnacentral:rRNA from 1 species
UACGUAGGGUGCGAGCGUUGUCCGGAAUUACUGGGCGUAAAGAGCUCGUAGGUGGUUUGUCGCGUUGUUCGUGAAAACUCACAACUCAAUUGUGGGCGUGCGGGCGAUACGGGCAGACUGGAGUACUGCAGGGGAGACUGGAAUUCCUGGUGUAGCGGUGGAAUGCGCAGAUAUCGGGAGGAACACCAGUGGCGAAGGCGACUUCCUGGACUGUUCUUGACGCUGAGGCGCGAAAGCGUGGGGAGCGAACAGG